rnacentral:pre_miRNA from 1 species
AGUGAGGUAACUGGGUCAAAUUGUGCUUCCAUUCCAAGUUUUCUGAGGAAUCUCCAUACUGCUUUCCAUAGUGGUUGCAGCAAUUUGCCUUCCCUCCAGCAAU